rnacentral:snoRNA from 1 species
UGGCCUCUAACAGACUCAGAGCAGUUAAUGUCUGCUGCUUAGGUUUCAACUACAGAAGCAAGAAAAAGAAGGUCCUUACACUUUCUUUCUGUCUGGUUGUGGCAGUCAAGAUUGAAUAGGGGAAUGCAGAA